UUUGGUUAAGUUAGAAAGGGCGCACGGUGGAUGCCUUGACACUAGGAGUCGAUGAAGGACGGGACUAACGCCGAUAUGCUUCGGGGAGCUGUAAGUAAGCUUUGAUCCGAAGAUUUCCGAAUGGGGAAACCCACCAUACGUAAUGGUAUGGUAUCCUUAUCUGAAUACAUAGGGUAAGGAAGACAGACCCAGGGAACUGAAACAUCUAAGUACCUGGAGGAAGAGAAAGCAAAUGCGAUUUCCUGAGUAGCGGCGAGCGAAACGGAACAUAGCCCAAACCAAGAGGCUUGCCUCUUGGGGUUGUAGGACAUUCUAUACGGAGUUACAAAGGAACGAGGUAGACGAAGCGACCUGGAAAGGUCCGUCGUAGAGGGUAACAACCCCGUAGUCGAAACUUCGUUCUCUCUUGAAUGUAUCCUGAGUACGGCGGAACACGUGAAAUUCCGUCGGAAUCUGGGAGGACCAUCUCCCAAGGCUAAAUACUCCCUAGUGAUCGAUAGUGAACCAGUACCGUGAGGGAAAGGUGAAAAGCACCCCGGAAGGGGAGUGAAAGAGAUCCUGAAACCGUGUGCCUACAAAUAGUCAGAGCCCGUUAACGGGUGAUGGCGUGCCUUUUGUAGAAUGAACCGGCGAGUUACGAUCCCGUGCGAGGUUAAGCUGAAGAGGCGGAGCCGCAGCGAAAGCGAGUCUGAAUAGGGCGUUUAGUACGUGGUCGUAGACCCGAAACCAGGUGAUCUACCCAUGUCCAGGGUGAAGUUCAGGUAACACUGAAUGGAGGCCCGAACCCACGCACGUUGAAAAGUGCGGGGAUGAGGUGUGGGUAGCGGAGAAAUUCCAAUCGAACCUGGAGAUAGCUGGUUCUCCCCGAAAUAGCUUUAGGGCUAGCCUUAAGUGUAAGAGUCUUGGAGGUAGAGCACUGAUUGGACUAGGGGUCCUCAUCGGAUUACCGAAUUCAGUCAAACUCCGAAUGCCAAUGACUUAUCCUUAGGAGUCAGACUGCGAGUGAUAAGAUCCGUAGUCAAAAGGGAAACAGCCCAGACCGCCAGCUAAGGUCCCAAAGUGUGUAUUAAGUGGAAAAGGAUGUGGAGUUGCUUAGACAACUAGGAUGUUGGCUUAGAAGCAGCCACCAUUUAAAGAGUGCGUAAUAGCUCACUAGUCGAGUGACUCUGCGCCGAAAAUGUACCGGGGCUAAAUACACCACCGAAGCUGCGGAUUGAUACCGAAUGGUAUCAGUGGUAGGGGAGCGUUCUAAGGACAGUGAAGUCAGACCGGAAGGACUGGUGGAGUGCUUAGAAGUGAGAAUGCCGGUAUGAGUAGCGAAAGACGGGUGAGAAUCCCGUCCACCGAAUGCCUAAGGUUUCCUGAGGAAGGCUCGUCCGCUCAGGGUUAGUCAGGACCUAAGCCGAGGCCGACAGGCGUAGGCGAUGGACAACAGGUUGAUAUUCCUGUACCACCUCUUUAUCGUUUGAGCAAUGGAGGGACGCAGAAGGAUAGAAGAAGCGUGCGAUUGGUUGUGCACGUCCAAGCAGUUAGGCUGAUAAGUAGGCAAAUCCGCUUAUCGUAAAGGCUGAGCUGUGAUGGGGAAGCUCCUUAUGGAGCGAAGUCUUUGAUUCCCCGCUGCCAAGAAAAGCUUCUAGCGAGAUAAAAGGUGCCUGUACCGCAAACCGACACAGGUAGGCGAGGAGAGAAUCCUAAGGUGUGCGAGAGAACUCUGGUUAAGGAACUCGGCAAAAUGACCCCGUAACUUCGGGAGAAGGGGUGCUUUCUUAACGGAAAGCCGCAGUGAAUAGGCCCAAGCGACUGUUUAGCAAAAACACAGCUCUCUGCGAAGCCGUAAGGCGAAGUAUAGGGGGUGACACCUGCCCGGUGCUGGAAGGUUAAGGAGAGGGGUUAGCGUAAGCGAAGCUCUGAACUGAAGCCCCAGUAAACGGCGGCCGUAACUAUAACGGUCCUA
rnacentral:rRNA from 1 species